UGCUCACAGCAGUAAAACCCUGACUAAGACAGAAUUUGGAAGUAUGAUUUGCAUGGGAAUGUUUAAGACAUUGGAAUGAGAAGAAAUCAGGGCGAAGAAGCAGGUUUUUCAGCUGUCAAGGUAAUUAAGACUCACGCACAAACUACUGGAUGCCCUGUGCCACAGGUUACACAGCAGGCUUUCUCUUGGGCACUGUGGAAAGGAACUUUGUUAUGGGACAACAAAGCCAUCUUCUCCUUCUGCAUUAGUGACAGUCAUGGCUGACCCCUCCCAAAUGCUCCAGCUAAAUGGUACUUAUAUCCUUGGGACACACACUUGGCUGGCAUCUUGAACAAUGGCAUAGUUGUUUGGCUUCAAAAUGGACAGCUUGGGAUGGGGGUCACACCCUAACACUAAAGUAGCCAGCACAGAAGGUGGAAAUGUUUCCUGAACAAAGUGAAGGCUACAAUAUCUUCAAGGCACAAGCCCAAUACCUUCAAAAUGGGUGCUAGCCUGUGCUCACUCUGAAUCCAGAGUUUCCUAGACUGUUCUGAUGUCAGCAGAAGGCCUGGACUUUAGAUGAGACGAUGGGUCUAAUCUAUCUAUAGAGGAUUCCCUCCUGAACCCACUGGAAAGAGGUCCUAUCUCCCUGCCUUCUUCCUUUCUUCUCAUCUUAUCUAAAUGACUUAAGCCAAGAGAGCAUUCAGCAGAGAAGAGCAAACAGAUACGAGCUUGAAAACUCUUCCCCCAAACACCCCAGCCUCACGACAUUCUCAUCUACCAAAAACUGUGAAUGCAGCUCCUUUGUUGAGAAUGGUAUCUCUGAAGAUGUACCCACAUUAAAAGGAGGCUAUCCUGAAUUAAAGUAGGCCUACCUCCUGUAGGGAAGGAAAUGAAUGGGGUUUCCUUCUACCCUUCUAGAUUCUUUGGCGGGGAUACAAAUUAAGAUGGCAUAAGGCAGAUUAACAAGAGGAAAGUCCUAUCUGAAACCCUAUCUAAACCAUACACACAGGCAUCCCACUGAAUGCAAGACCCAAACGGAGGCAGGUGAUUGGAGUAUAAGCAACAUCUUCAGCUACAGAAGCAUUUGAGGCUUAUGUGGGGUUAUGGUUGCAUGCAUGUGAAGUGCAUAUGUGGCCUAAAGCACUGUUGGCCAGAUACGGUCUUAGGUAAUAAGAGUGGUCAUAGCAACCCUCUCUGAUGCUAACACUCUCUCUAAUACAUUGUCUCUCUCUUUACUGCACGUAUGUCUUAGGUUGCUUUUACAGAGCUUCCAGACCUACUCCUGUGCCUGAGUUUCCCAGAGUAAUCAGCUUGAAAAAAUACCGAAGAAGUCUAUCUGGGGUGGUCUAUUCAGGCUCUUAUAAUUAUAUAAUUAUAUAAUUCUUUAAGUCCCAUAUGAUCAAUGUCUUGCUAUGUAGAUGAUAUCUAGACACUGACACACUCAGAGAGAGAGAGAGAGAGAGAGAGAGAGAGAGAGAGAGAGAGAAAGAGAGAGAGAGAGAGGAAACAGUCCAUCUAUAAGCCAUAGAAUCAAGACCUACCAGCAACUACCAGAAAGAACCCAAGGAAAGCAUUCCACCAGCUUCUCCCUCAGGCCUCCAGAAGGAAGUAACUUGGCCAACACCUUGAUUUCAGGCUUCUGGCUUCCAGAACUAAGAGGAUCCAUCUCUGUGGCUUUCAACGGCACCGUCUGUGGUGAUCAGAGUGUGAAGUAGAAUAGCCGUGGAUGAAGAGAGAAGGUCAACGUGGCACUGAACACCAUUACCAUCUAUUCUGCCUGGCUUAAGGGAUGACCCAACAACGAUCUGGUCCAUGAGCCUCUGAGCUUCAUUGCCUGGGAAAGAUGGGCAGUCCCCCUUCAUCAGUCACUUAAAACUGUUACGGUGCAAGGGAAAUUAAAAAGAUGACUGAAGAGGUG